UAGGGAAUAUUGCACCAUGGGCGAAAGCCUGAUGCAGCAACGCCGCGUGAGUGAUGAAGGCCCUCGGGUCGUAAAACUCUUUUCAAGAGGAAGAGGAAGGACGGUACUCUUGGAAUAAGCCUCGGCUAACUACGUGCCAGCAGCCGCGGUAACACGUAGGAGGCGAGCGUUAUUCGGAUUUACUGGGCGUAAAGCGCGUGUAGGCGGCUUAUUAAGUUGGAUGUGAAAGCUCCUGGCUUAACUGGGAGAGGACGUUCAAAACUAGUAGCUUGAGUACGAGGGAGGAAAAUGGAAUUCCGGGUGUAGUGGUGAAAUGCGUAGAUAUCCGGAGGAACACCAGUGGCGAAGGCGAUUUUCUGGCUCGAGACUGACGCUCAGACGCGAAAGCUAGGGUAGCAAAC
rnacentral:rRNA from 1 species